GCUAGUUGUGCGGGUUUAGACCCGCAGCGGAAAGCUCAGUAACACGUGGCCAAACUACCCUGUGGAUGGGAACAAUCUCGGGAAACUGAGGUUAAUUCCCAAUAACGCUCCACCCCUGGAACGGGCGGAGCUGGAAACGCUACGGCGCCACAGGAUGUGGCUGCGGUCGAUUAGGUAGACGGUGGGGUAACGGCCCACCGUGCCAAUAAUCGGUACGGGUUGUGAGAGCAAGAGCCCGGAGACGGAAUCUGAGACAAGAUUCCGGGCCCUACGGGGCGCAGCAGGCGCGAAACCUUUACACUGUACGCAAGUGCGAUAAGGGGACUCCGAGUGUGAAGGCAUAGAGCCUUCACUUUUGUACACCGUAAGGUGGUGUACGAAUAAGGGCUGGGCAAGACCGGUGCCAGCCGCCGCGGUAAUACCGGCAGCCCGAGUGAUGGCCGAUAUUAUUGGGCCUAAAGCGUCCGUAGCUGGCCGGACAAGUCCGUUGGGAAAUCUGUUCGCUUAACGAGCAGGCGUCCAGCGGAAACUGUUCGGCUUGGGACCGGAAGACCUGAGGGGUACGUCCGGGGUAGGAGUGAAAUCCUGUAAUCCUGGACGGACCACCGGUGGCGAAAGCGCCUCAGGAGGACGGAUCCGACAGUGAGGGACGAAAGCUAGGGUCUCGAACCGGAUUAGAUACCCGGGUAGUCCUAGCUGUAAACGAUGCCCGCUAGGUGGUGGCGCAGGCUACGAGCCUGCGCUGUGCCGUAGGGAAGCCGAGAAGCGGGCCGCCUGGGAAGUACGUCUGCAAGGAUGAAACUUAAAGGAAUUGGCGGGGGAGCACUACAACCGGAGGAGCCUGCGGUUUAAUUGGACUCAACGCCGGACAUCUCACCAGCUCCGACAGUAGUAAUGACGGUCAGGUUGAUGACCUUACCCGAUGCUACUGAGAGGAGGUGCAUGGCCGCCGUCAGCUCGUACCGUGAGGCGUCCUGUUAAGUCAGGCAACGAGCGAGACCCGCACUCCUAAUUGCCAGCAGUACCCUUUUGGGUAGCUGGGUACAUU
rnacentral:rRNA from 1 species